CAAACCUUUGAUUCUUCGACUGGUAUUUCCAUCUCUUUCUUUCUUUGUUCCUCUCCAGACGAAAAACCGAAACAUAUCUGAUUGAAAUAUACAAAAACAGAUGAAAGCUUCGAAAUCAAACACCAAAUCGAUCAAAAAUCAGUAGAUUAAUACUAUUACAUUUUCUAGAAGAUCAAAUCUGACUAAACCCCAAAAAAACGAGAAAAUUAAGUUUCAUAAAUUGAUUUACCAUGGAUCUUCAACAACAACGUUUUGAAAAGAUUAAAUCGCAGGCGAUCGAAAACAACUGAACCAACAACUUCUGUUGGUGUUAAAGAAAUUAGUAAAGGAACAUCAUAAAAUAUGUUGGAUGGAAGUUAGAGGAAAUAAAAUGGUUGAUAAAGUAAACAAGAGAAGGGUUAGGAUGACGUUUCUAUCUUGAAUACAACUGAUGAAUGAAAGCUUCAAAAAGAAUAAGAUACAAGUUCGGAUGAAUGAUUGAGCAUGUAUACUGUUAGCAAGAAUACUUUUGUUAGAAUGAUUGAGCAUGUAUACUGUUAGCAAGAAUACUUUUGUUAGUCUUGGUUAUAAACCUCUUUGCGUAAAUGUGUUACCGUGAACAAUAAAUACUUUUGUUAGUCUUAGUUAUAAAACUAUUGAAUGAA